AUAAAGAAAGUAAAAAAGGGCGCAUGGCGGAUGCCUUGGCUCUCGGAGGCGAUGAAGGACGUGAUAAGCUGCGAUAAGCUUUGGGGAGGUGCAAAUGACCUUUGAUCCAGAGAUUUCCGAAUGGGACAACCCAAUAUCUUGAAGAGGUAUUAUCCAACGUUGUUGGAGGCUAACGCAGGGAACUGAAACAUCUUAGUACCUGCAGGAAAAGAAAAUAAACAAUGAUUCCCCCAGUAGUGGCGAGCGAACGGGGAACAGCCCAAACCAUCCAUGUUACGGCAUGGGUGGGGUUGUAGGACUACGCCGUUGCAUGAAGACAUCAGAGAAGAACUUUCUGGAAAGAAAGACCAUAGAGCAUGACAGUUGCGUAUUCGAAUGUUGUCGAAGCAUAGUAGUAUCCUGAGUAGCGCGGAGCACGAGGAAUUCUGCGUGAAUCUGCCGGGACCAUCCGGUAAGGCUAAAUACUCCCGAGAGACCGAUAGCGAACCAGUACCGUGAGGGAAAGGUGAAAAGCACUUCGAACAGAAGAGUGAAAUAGUUCCUGAAACCGUGCGCCUACAAGCGGUCGGAGCUCGUUAAUGAGUGACGGCGUGCCUUUUGCAUAAUGAACCUACGAGUUGCCUUUGCCGGCAAGGUUAAGUGUGACGACACACGUAUCCGAAGCGAAAGCGAGUCUGAACAGGGCGUAUAGUCGGCAGUGGCAGACGCGAAACCAAGUGAUCUACCCUUGGCCAGGUUGAAGGCUGGGUAACACCAGCUGGAGGACCGCACCAAUAAGCGUUGAAAAGCUUCUGGAUGAGCUGAGGGUAGGGGUGAAAGGCUAAUCAAACUUGGAGAUAGCUCGUACUCCCCGAAAUGCAUUUAGGUGCAGCCUUGCGGGUUACUGAUGUGAGGUAGAGCGACUGAUAAGAUGCGAGGGCUUCACCGCCUAUCAAGUCUUGACAAACUCCGAAUGCGCAUCAGUUCUACCGCAGGAGUGAGGGCAUGGGUGCUAAGGUCCGUGCCCGAGAGGAGAAGAAUCCGGACCACCUGCUAAGGUCCCGAAAUGACAGCUAAGUUAAACUAACGAAGUCUGACUGCUAAGACAGCUAGGAUGUUGGCUUGGAAGCAGCCAUUCAUUUAAAGAGUGCGUAACAGCUCACUAGUCGAGGAGUCGGGCGUGGAUAAUAAUCGGGUAUUAAGUUGUCUACCGAAGCAGUGGGAUCAUUUAUAUGAUCGGUAGGGGAGCAUUCCAGUCAGCGUCGAAGGCGUACCGUGAGGUAUUCUGGAGCGUCUGGAAAAGCAAAUGUAGGUAUAAGUAACGAUAAAGGGGGCGGGAAACCCCCUCGCCGAAAGACUAAGGUUUCCUGAUCAACGCUAAUCGGAUCAGGGUCAGUCGGGUCCUAAGGCUCAGCCGAACGGCGAUGCCGAUGGCAGAAACGGUUAAUAUUCCGUUACUACCUUCAGGAGUGACGUGGAGACGCAGUAGUGACAGUGCCGCCAUCUGACGGAAUAGAUGGUUGAAGGGUGUAGGAGUCGAUCAUGGCAGGCAAAUCCACCAUGAGAUCCGAACCUGAUAGUAUGCCGCGUCCUUCGGGACAAGGCAAUAGUGCGCGUAAGCAUGCUGCCGAGAAAAUCCGCUAAACUUAAUCCUGCAGGUACCCGUACCGCAAACGGACACACGUAGUCGGGAUGAAUAUUCUAAGGCGCUUGAGUGAUUCACGGUUAAGGAACUAGGCAAACUGACCCUGUAACUUCGGGAUAAAGGGUCCCUACCCUUUUAUGGGAGGGCGCAGAGAAUCGGUCCAGGCAACUGUUUAACAAAAACACAGGGCUGUGCCAAAUCGAAAGAUCCAGUAUACAGCCUGACACCUGCCCGGUGCUGGAAGGUUAAGAGGAGAUGUCAUCGAUAAGAGAAGCGUUGAAUUGAAGCCCCAGUAAACGGCGGCCGUAACUAUAACGGUCCUAAGGUAGCGAAAUUCCUUGUCGGGUAAGUUCCGACCUGCACGAAUGGUGUAAUGAUCUGGACGCUGUCUCAACCGUGAGCUCAGUGAAAUUGUAGUAUCGGUGAAGAUGCCGAUUACCCGCGAUGGGACGAAAAGACCCCGUGAACCUUUACUAUAGCUUAUCAUUGAAUCUGGGCACGUGAUGUGUAGGAUAGGUCGGAGGCUUUGAAGCAGGUACGCCAGUAUUUGUGGAGCCGCUGUUGAAAUACGACCCUUUAUUUGUUUGGAUUCUAACCCGUGGAUACGGGGACAUUGAUUGGUGGGUAGUUUGACUGGGGUGGUCGCCUCCAAAAGCGUAACGGAGGCUUCUAAAGGUGCCCUCCGGCCGAUUGGUAACCGGCCUUAGAGUGUAAUGGCAUAAGGGCGCUUGACUGGGAGACUGACAAGUCGAUCAGGUAGGAAACUAGAGCAUAGUGAUCCGGUGUUUCCGUAUGGAAGGGACAUCGCUCAAAGGAUAAAAGGUACUCCGGGGAUAACAGGCUGAUCCCUCCCAAGAGCUCAUAUCGACGGAGUGGUUUGGCACCUCGAUGUCGGCUCGUCACAUCCUGGGGCUGGAGAAGGUCCCAAGGGUUGGGCUGUUCGCCCAUUAAAGUGGCACGCGAGCUGGGUUCAGAACGUCGUGAGACAGUUCGGUCUCUAUCUAUCGUGGGCGUAUGAAAUUUGCGUGGCUCUGACACUAGUACGAGAGGACCGUGUUGGACAGACCUCUGGUUUGCCGGUUGUGCCGCCAGGUGCAUUGCCGGGUAUCUAAGUCUGGAUCGGAUAAGUGCUGAAAGCAUCUAAGUACGAAGCCGGCCACAAGAUUAGAUUUCUCAGGGUCGUUGUAGACUACGACGUUGAUAGGAUGCAGGUGUAAAGAUGGAGACAUCAAAGCCGAGCAUUACUAAUUGCCCGUUCACUUUCCUUA
rnacentral:rRNA from 1 species